CGGGGUGUGGCGCAGUUGGCUAGCGCGCUACGUUCGGGACGUAGAGGUCGAAGGUUCGAGUCCUUUCACCCCGA
rnacentral:tRNA from 1 species